UUUAAACUGCACUUGGCAAGAUGAGUUCAGUGGGUCGUGACUGGCACCUUUUUUUCCUGAAGUAACCUGCAGUGCGGAAUUGGCGCACCCCCUGCUCGCCCCCGGUCCGCCACGCUCCAAACCAAUCUCUUUCACCUCAGUGACUUGGGUCUGUCAUCCUACAGUGCACUCCUGGACCUCUGUUUCGCAAGGAAACUAAAGCUCAAAGAGUUAAAUACCUUGCUGAGGUUACGCAGCUAAUAAGCCACACAGCUGGGACCAGAACUCAAGAUCUGUAUCGCUCCUUUGUGUGCCCCAAAGGCACAGGGGUUAGAGACUAACCUGCAGACUGCCAUCGUGCUGCUGGGCAGAGAAGGAGGCAGUAAGCAGCCAGGCAGAGCAAAGGAGUGCUGUCCCGGGAGAGCCUGCCUCGGCCCAGAUCUCUCUCCCAGCUGAGCAUCAUCCUUGACCUGACAGACAGGCUGGCAAUGAUCAGCACUAGGCUGGGCCUAGAAGCCCUUGUUGAGCCUGACACUGAUCUUCUCAUGAGGAGGUCUGGGCUCAAGGCAGGGAAAGAACCGUCCUGAUCUGUGGCCAGAAGACCUGACAGUCCACAGAGAAAACGCUGAUUCUCUGUGCUGGAACAGACCUCAUCAAGGCAGAGAUGCCUACUCCUUACUGACCUCCAGGUCAAAACGUACCCCCAGCAGCUGCAGACUGACCUCCUGAGGGGGAGGCCCCAUG